rnacentral:rRNA from 1 species
UACGAAGGGGGCUAGCGUUGUUCGGAUUUACUGGGCGUAAAGCGCGCGUAGGCGGGUCGCUAAGUCAGAGGUGAAAUCCCAAGGCUUAACCUUGGAACUGCCUUUGAUACUGGCAACCUGGAGAUCGGGAGAGGUUGGUGGAAUUCCGAGUGUAGAGGUGAAAUUCGUAGAUAUUCGGAGGAACACCAGAAGCGAAGGCGGCCAACUGGCCCGAUACUGACGCUGAGGCGCGAAAGCGUGGGGAGCAAACAGG